UCGGUAGGCGGACAGCGGCGAAAGGGAGAGUAAUGUGUAGGCACCUACCCUUGGGUCCGGGAUAGCUGCGGGAAACCGCAGGUAAUACCGGAUGACAUCUCCGGAUCAAAGGUGCGAUUCCGCCCGAAGAGGGGCCUACAUCCUAUUAGCUUGUUGGUGAGGUAACGGCUCACCAAGGCGACGAUGGGUAACGGGUGUGAGAGCAUGACCCGUGUCAUUGGGACUGAGACACUGCCCAGACACCUACGGGUGGCUGCAGUCGAGAAUCUUCGGCAAUGGGCGAAAGCCUGACCGAGCGAUGCCGCGUGCGGGAUGAAGGCCCCCGGGUUGUAAACCGCUGUCAACGAGGAGGAAGUGCAAGGGGGUUCUCCCUCUUGCUUGACCUAUUCGAGAAGGAAGUACGGGCUAAGUUCGUGCCAGCAGCCGCGGUAAGACGAACCGUACAAACGUUAUUCGGAAUUAUUGGGCUUAAAGGGUGCGUAGGCUGCGCGGAAAGUUGGGUGUGAAAGCCCUCGGCUCAACCGAGGAAUUGCGCCCAAUACUACCGUGCUCGAGGGAGACAGAGGUGAGCGGAACUCAAGGUGGAGCGGUGAAAUGCGUUGAUAUCUUGAGGAACACCGGUGGCGAAAGCGGCUCACUGGGUCUCUUCUGACGCUGAGGCACGAAAGCCAAGGUAGCAAACGGGAUUAGAUACCCCGGU
rnacentral:rRNA from 1 species